UAUUUUGGGGGUGUGAGAAGGAAAAACCUAUAGGUCCCAAUUUAGGCCCCAAUUUAGCCAGACAAACCUAGAAUCGAUGGCGAUUGAUGGAUUUCGGAGAAAUUAGGGUUGGAUUUCGGUGAAUAGGAUUGGUGAAGCAGAUGUAAGAGAGGGGUCUUGUGAUCGAUAGAUUCUGAUGCUGUGAAGAAUAUAUGAUUAGAAUUCAGAUUUCUGCUGCUGAUUCAUGGCGAGAAAGUGAUGAAGAACUGAAGAUUAAAUAGGGAUUUCUUCUGGUGAUUGAGUUACAGAGAUGGGUUCAAUUGAUUUUAGGGGUUUGAACUGAUUUUGGUUCAGCAACUGAUGAUGAUUUAGGGGUUUGUAGAAGAUGGAUUUAUGCUCGAAUUUUGAAAAGAAGAAUUGGCAGUUUAUGUUUGCAAUUGGGUCAUUCUCAGAUUUCGGUAACUUUGGCUUCAUGGAAAGAAAAGUUACGAAGUAUGCUGGAGCAGCAACCAUGUAUUUUGUGUCAAAGAAACUGAAAAAGAAACAUAACAUCACUGACGAGCGUGCAGCGCUAUAUGAAGCUGCAAACACAUGGGUGGAGGCUCUGAAAGGGCAUGACUUUCUGGAUUCCUACAGUUCCAUUUCAAAUUAUUGCCUAGUAGCUUGACAUACAUUUCAGUUUAGUCAUGGAAAAACAAAUUUGAACAGUUCCGUUAAUAAAACAAUGUUUGUUUGCAGGGGGGUGCUACCUCAAACCUAUGAGACCUUGCUGUGUAUGGGGUUCUGAGACCCAUCAGAUACCUGACAUCGGGGAAAGAUAUGGUGGAGCACACACAGAUUGGUGAGUGGUACUCAAGGAUGGAAAAAGCUGUUGGAGAGUCUUCAAGGAAGAAGCCAGAGGCUUAAGUCAUUCUUUGAUUUGGAAAAUACAAACAAUGAACUCAAAAGUGAUAUCAAGGACAUUUACCUGGACUCAGCAGUGCAAGAAGAGAAGCUUGAUGCCGGUCAAAGUGUGGGUUGGAUGGCUGUGAUGCUGAAGACUUAAGAGUUUAGGAAUGAUUAGGAGGUUUGGAAUGAUGCCAGUCAAAGUGUGGGUUGGAUGCCGAGCAAACAUAGUUACGUCGAUCUCUUGAAAAGUGUGCACUUCACAGUUUGUGGCCACAUCUCCUGCAAUGCGUUUAUGUCUCGAUCAACUACAGGCUUUCGGUCGUUGUUAAAAGUGCAUGGGGUCGUGAUGAUAGCAAGGUGUUGAUUCCUGCUACGGUUAUUCUUCGGUUUAUGUUCACGCCUGCUGAAAUGAGGACCAAGCUGAAGUCAUAUGUUGAGGAGGAAUGCGUGAAACUUGGUCCAAUAGAGCUAGUUAAGUUUGUAGUCUGUAUGGCAUUAAAAAUUGCAUCCAAAGUCGCUUAGUUCAGACCCAUUUGCAUACUUAGAAGCAGAACAGAAAGAUCUGAUGAAGUACUGUGUAGCUGCUUCUUCUUGGAAGAGAGAGCUCCUACGAGAGUUCACAAAUUCUGAAGAUGCUUAGCUGCUGUCGCUUUGGAUUCCAUUCGCUUCACAAAUUCUGCUUCAAAUGCAGCAAUCCGCGGCAUGAGAAGGAUGUUAUGUGAGUCAUGUUUCUGUGCAUGUUAGUCUGCGACAUGAGAACUUUGAAAUAGGUUAGGAACUUAAGGACUGUUAUGUGAGUUCUGCAUCUGUUAGUGUUAUCAUAUAUGCUCUUUAAGUUCUAAACAGAUAUUGUAUGAGCUUUAAGCCACUGAAAACUUAGAAUUCUCAUAAGUUUCUAACCAUCCAUUGUGUUCCCUCAAAACAUAGGAAUUCUUUGAAGUUGUUCUUGUUGAAAGAAUAAGACUAAUUACAGUUGUUAAAUGUGUGACUAAAUACAGUUGAAUUGAAUGAAAGAUCUUUGCAGGAAAUUAUUAUUGAA